rnacentral:rRNA from 1 species
GAACGGGUGAGUAAUGCAUCGGAACGUGCCCAGUCGUGGGGGAUAACUGCUCGAAAGAGCAGCUAAUACCGCAUACGACCUGAGGGUGAAAGCGGGGGACCGUAAGGCCUCGCGCGAUUGGAGCGGCCGAUGUCAGAUUAGCUAGUUGGUGGGGUAAAGGCCUACCAAGGCAACGAUCUGUAGUUGGUCUGAGAGGACGACCAGCCACACUGGGACUGAGACACGGCCCAGACUCCUACGGGAGGCAGCAGUGGGGAAUUUUGGACAAUGGGCGCAAGCCUGAUCCAGCAAUGCCGCGUGCAGGAAGAAGGCCUUCGGGUUGUAAACUGCUUUUGUCAGGGAAGAAAUCUUCUGGGCUAAUACCCCGGGAGGAUGACGGUACCUGAAGAAUAAGCACCGGCUAACUACGUGCCAGCAGCC